rnacentral:lncRNA from 12 species
CGCAGGGCAGCAACCCCUUUGUAAGAAUUCAGCCGUGUUGUAUCUCAGGGAGAUUUUCGUUUACUUACGAGGCUAUCGGAAGGUGAAACUCGGCUUUGUGAGGCUCUGCAGGCGCCGUCAGCAGGGAGGGAGGCCUGCAGUGUCCACGGGAGGCCGCAGUCUGUCGGGCGGCGCCGCGGGAACCCCAGGAGCACGGGACCUACAGGUGUUCACUUGAGAGGUGACCUGCACCCGUGUAUCGCCUGCUGGCACUGCCGCCUUCUUCCUUAUCCAGAGAAAGGCCUUUCCACGCUGCCGACAGUAGAACCCUCUGGAUAGCAGAGGGGAAGCGCUGCUAAUUUCGAUGAAGCCGACCUGAGGCUGUGACCCUGCUACCUGAGGUCAGUAUCUGAGCAGCCUCCAGUGGGAAGAAUAACAGGUGGGAACCCUGGGGGGCCAGCUU